GGGUGUUGCUCUGGAAGCAGUCUGAACUACCCAGAGCUCAGCACAGAUAGAACAGCCCCUUGGAUCCAUUUUUCUAAGAAAAACUCAAGUUGAAACUGAAUGGCCAGCAUGAAGUAGGAAGAGGACUGAAACAUGAUCUGGUCAUUGUGUGGAGAAGUUGCCCCAUCUUGUUCUUCACUUGUAGCUUCAUUGGAAUUUUUCUAAGUGGGAUCGCAGAACAACUGCUCAUACACGCAACGAAUCAGCUGUUCAGGAUGUGCCUAUGAUGCUAGGCGGUGACGAGAGGAGAAGCAGCAUUUCUGAAUGAACUUAGGUUCUUCUAUUUUCUCAUGUGAUGAGUACUGUGGGAAGCAUGCCUGCACAUGGAAGAUAUUGGCCUGAUUCCAUAUGGAAGAGUAGCUCCCAAGACACUGAUCUCCUCAGGAUACUGGUUCUCUGGUGAAAUAGUUGGUCUUCAGUUGCAGAGGACUAAAUUUCAGGGUUGUUAUAAAUUUCUGAAAUGAAAAUGCAAAAAUUGGCAGGUUUGGUGGCACAUGCCUGUAAUUCUAGCACUUAUGUGAGUUCAAGGCCAAUCUGGACUACAGAGUGAAUGCUAUCUCAAUAAAUAAGAAGAAGAAAAAGAAGAAGGAGAAGGAGAAGGAGAAGGAGAAGGAGAAGGAGAAGGAGAAGAAAAGAGAGACUACAAAUGCCCAUUAAGGACAAGGAUUGAAAGUACUCUGUACAUCUGGGGUAGCAAUUCCUUGCCUUUGUGCUGCAACAGAAAACCUCUGCACAUGAGACCUUGGCAAGCACAGGAUGUUGUAAAAGAAGGAAGCGUGAACUCUUCCAUGGACUCUUCCAAGCACUGGGACAUCUGAAGACACCCAAGCAUUCACACCGGAUGCCUCAAGGACUUUGCCUGAAUGACAUUAGAGUUCCAGGAAAGUGGUGGAUCAGUGAGCAACAGAGAAAGAACCUCUCCAAGUUUGAUGUCCAGACCCUGAAAUACAGCGACAUAAGGAAGAGGAGGAGAAAGGUGGAUCCCAUAAACAUAAACAGAAUCUGAACUAAGAUUUGCAGCCCAUGGAGAGGGAUCAUUCAGGAACUCAGCAAAAAUAAGAAAACCAGGGGCAGGGGUCCUGAAGGAUGGGGAGAAAGAGCAGGAAAGCUAUGCAGCCCAUGUACAAAGCCACGCAGCGUCCAUCCCCUGCAUAGGUGGAGGUCCUUCUGGCCAGAGAAAAGCAGCACGGAAGGAAUGCAGUUCCCACAAUCUGUGUGCUGUGGAGGCCAUGCUGGUUGGGGAGACGCGGCAGGGAAACCAUGGAACCUCCCUGUGUGCCAGCAGAACUCUGUCAGCUGAGGAGAAGCAGCAAAGAAGCCGCUUCCACCUCCUGCCUUCCUGCUUCACUCCAAUAAGCAACCGGAGGGGACACAGGCUGAGAUGGUAAUAACUGAAGUAAGGAAGAAACCUGAUACUUAUGCUGUUUGAUUGACUUUGCAGGCCUGGGCCAGUAAGUAGCCUGAGCAGCUAAUUAGAGGAUAAGAUUAUGCAAUACAGUAGUGACUGGAUUUCCUACUGUCCUAUCAUUGGUUUGUUUUAUUUUACUGUUCGGUUGUACUCCUUUUAAAAUAAAAAAAUAAAUAGAAUGAUGUUAGAAAUGACGUUGGGAUUACUCCUUCUAUUUUGAUUUUAUUAAAGAGUUCAGGAGGCAUUACAUCUUCCCUGAAGUUCUUGUAGAGCUUGGCAGUGACUCUGUCAGGUACUGGCCUUUUCUUGGUAGAUUUUAAAAAUUACUGCUUCAAUUUUAUUACCUGCUAUUGGAUUAUUUGGAGUUUUGCAGUCUUCUUGGUUAAAUUUUGCUAAUUCAUGUGUGUAUGUAAAUCUACCCAUUUCUUCUGAGUUCUCCAAUUUAUUGGCAUAUAGGUUUGUGAAGUCAUUGCUAAUAAUCUUCUGGACUUCAGUAGUAUCCACUGAUUUCACCCUGUUUAUUUCUACUUGCAUUGAUUUGGAUCUUCUCUUUCCCUUUUUCUAGUGAGAUUGGCUAAGAGUUUUCCCACCUUAUUUAUUCUUUCAAAGAACUAGCUCUUGGAUUCUUUAAUUCUUUGUAUGUUUUAAAGCUCUAUUUCGUUGAUUUCAGCACUGAUCUUUGUAACUUUGUUCCUUGUUGUAGUCCUGGAUUUGCACUGCAUCUGUUUUUCUAGGACCUUGAGUUGCAUGUUUAGGUUACUCAUUUAGGCCCUCUCUGUUUUUCUGAUGUGAGCAUUUACAACUGUAAACUUCUCCUUUAGGACUACUUACGUUGGGUCUCAUAAAUUUGGGUACUUUGUACUGGUACUGUCACUUGAUUCUAGGAACUGUCUAAUUUCUUCUGUGGCUCAUUGGCUAUUUAGUAGUGUGUUUUAAAAUUUCCAUGUACUUGUAAAAUUUUCAUGGUUUCUUUUGCAAUUGAUAUCUAGUUUCAUUGCAUUAUGGUCUGAUAAUAUGUUGGUACAAUUUCAAUUCUUUUGCACUUACUUUGUAUGCUUUGCUGGUUAGUAUGUGUUCUAUUUUGGAGAAAGUUCUAUGUGCUGCUGAGAAGAAUGUGUAUUCUGUUGUUGGAUGGAAUACUCUGUUUAUAUCUAUUAAGUCUACCUGUUUGAAGGUUUGGUUCAAUUCUUAUAUUUGUUGAUUUUUUUCUUCUAACUGAUCUAUUUGUGAUGGGAGGAUAUUGAGGUUGCUCAGUAUAAUUCCACUGA